GAUGAACGCUAGCGGCAGGCUUAAUACAUGCAAGUCGAACGGUAAGAGAUGUAGCAAUACAUUUCCUAGAGUGACGUACGGGUGCGUAACACGUAUGCAACCUACCUGUAACAGGAGUAUAGCUCGGGGAAACUCGAAUUAACCCUCCAUAAGAUCGUGAAGUGGCAUCACUUAGCGCUUAAAACUGAGGUGGUUACAGAUGGGCAUGCGUCUGAUUAGUUAGUUGGCGGGGUAAUGGCCCACCAAGACGAUGAUCAGUAGGGGAACUGAGAGGUUGAUCCCCACCAC
rnacentral:rRNA from 1 species